GCUUGCAGGGGACAGGGAUGGAGGCUGUGCCCUGUGCCUCCCUUACACUCUCCCCCAAGGACCUGGCCCCGUGUGUGUGCAUGAGGAUCCACCACCAAACCACAGGCCUGCCUUGUGUUCUGUCCCCAUGCCAGCCUGGGUAACAGUGGUGCUUUGGUAGCGACUCCAUCUCCUGGGUCCACCUGCUGCUUCUUCACUAUAAAUAAGGCUUAAUUAUGACACCGAGGAUAAAUGAAGCACUGAUGGUG